rnacentral:rRNA from 1 species
UACAGAGGUCCCAAGCGUUGUUCGGAUUCACUGGGCGUAAAGGGUGCGUAGGUGGUCGGGUAAGUCUGAUGUGAAAUCUCCAAGCUCAACUUGGAAACUGCAUCGGAUACUAUUCGGCUCGAGGGUUGGAGGGGGGACUGGAAUGCUUGGUGUAGCAGUGAAAUGCGUAGAUAUCAAGCGGAACACCAGUGGCGAAAGCGGCCUUCUGGACCGUGCCUGACGCUCAGACGCGAAAGCUAGGGGAGCGAACGGG